AUACGGAGGGUGCAGGCGUUAUCCGGAUUUAUUGGGUUUAAAGGGUGCGCAGGCGGAUCUGUCAGUCAGUGGUGAAAUCCCGGGGCUCAACCUCGGAACUGCCAUUGAUACUGCAGGCCUUGAGUUUGGUUGAAGUGGGCGGAAUGUAGCAUGUAGCGGUGAAAUGCAUAGAUAUGCUACAGAACACCGAUCGCGAAGGCAGCUCACUAAACCAACACUGACGCUCAGGCACGAAAGCGUGGGUAGCGAACAGGAUUAGAAACCCGAGUAGUCC
rnacentral:rRNA from 1 species